rnacentral:lncRNA from 1 species
AAGUAUCUCAUAUCAUCUAUUCUCCUUUUUCUUCUCUUUAUCCUUCAUGUUGCCUGCAAGAUAGGGAGAAUGAGAACAAUCAGCCGGAACUCGAAAUCAAACUUCUGAUCUGGGACUGAUUGCUUGGAGCUUUGAUUGCUUACCUUGUCUGUCACCUCUUUCAGCGGAUCCCCUAGCUCGGCGACUUGGGGGACUCCUACUACAUGGU